rnacentral:rRNA from 1 species
AACGAACGCUGGCGGCAGGCUUAACACAUGCAAGUCGAACGCAUCGCAAGAUGAGUGGCAGACGGGUGAGUAACGCGUGGGAAUCUACCGUACCCUACGGAAUAGCUCCGGGAAACUGGAAUUAAUACCGUAUACGCCCUUCGGGGGAAAGAUUUAUCGGGGUAUGAUGAGCCCGCGUUGGAUUAGCUAGUUGGUGGGGUAAAGGCCUACCAAGGCGACGAUCCAUAGCUGGUCUGAGAGGAUGAUCAGCCACAUUGGGACUGAGACACGGCCCAAACUCCUACGGGAGGCAGCAGUGGGGAAUAUUGGACAAUGGGCGCAAGCCUGAUCCAGCCAUGCCGCGUGAGUGAUGAAGGUCUUAGGAUUGUAAAGCUCUUUCACCGAUGAAGAUAAUGACGGUAGUCGGAGAAGAAGCCCCGGCUAACUUCGUGCCAGCAGCCGCAGUAAAAC